CCGAAAGGCCAACUCUGCCUGGGCUUGCUCCCGUUUUCGUUUUUUCCUUGCCCCCCAAAAGCUUUUGUUUUCUUUUUUAAGAUUUUACUUAUUUUUUCACGAGAGACCCCGAGAGAGAGGCCGAGACCCAGGCCUAGGGAGAAGCAGGCUCCCUGCAGGGCCGGCGAGGACUCGAUCCCGGGACCCAGGGGUCACCACCUGAGCCCAAGGCAGAUGCCCAAGGGCUGAGCCCCCCAGGGCUCCCCAGAGCUGAAUUUUCCACAGACCCGGCCUGGCCGCACUUCGCUGUGCAGCGGCUCCUCCCCGGUGCAGUCCUUAGUAGGAUUCUGAUAAGUGCUUUCCCACCCCCAACUCUGCAAAGUCCUCCCCGUCUGGGUGCAGGCAACUGUUGGCUUUAGGGCCCUGGUUCCACCUCCAGGACCCCCGGAGCCGUCACCCACAUCAUACCGGGCCGGCAACAAAACCUCAGGACUCCUUGGGUGAAUGGAUGUGGGCCUGGAGGGGCGGCCCAGGGGGGCCUUCCCAGAGCCGCAGCCCUCCAGGACAGGCCUGUUCUGCCCUCCAGGGAGAGAGAGAACCGAGAGACCCCCGUGAACUCCCAAGGCGACCCGGCGAGUGGGGAAGCCAGAGCCCAGCAGUUUGGAAAAAUAGCUCAGUGUGACCUCCCUCAUGUAAGAGACAGAGAGGCUGGAGAGAGUCCGCUGCUUCAUUUCAGGUGAUUCAGAAAAGAAGUCCCAGGGAUGCUCCUGGCAUUCUCACUUAUUUUCAGAGAGUGCUGCCCCAGAGUCCCUGGUUUUGUA
rnacentral:lncRNA from 12 species